rnacentral:tRNA from 1 species
AAGGUGUAGCGCUGGGUAGCGCAGCGCAUCUGUUUCGGGUCAGCAGGUCAGGGGUGGGCCGGCCAUAGGUUCGAAUCCUGCCACCUUU